ACGGCUGUCGUCAGCUCGUGUCGUGAGAUGUUGGGUUAAGUCCCGCAACGAGCGCAACCCUCGCCCCUAGUUGCCAUCAUUCAGUUGGGAACUCUAGGGGGACUGCCGGUGAUAAGCCGCGAGGAAGGUGGGGAUGACNUCAAGUCCUCAUGGCCNUUACAGGCUGGGCUACACACGUGCUACAAUGGCGGUGACAAUGGGCAGCGAAAGGGCGACCUCGAGCUAAUCCCAAAAAGCCGUCUCAGUUCACAUUGUACUCUGCAACUC
rnacentral:rRNA from 1 species